CAGUCGCCACGGGAAUACAGAGGGUGCAAGCGUUAAUCGGAAUUACUGGGCGUAAAGCGCGCGUAGGUUGUUUGUUAAGUCGGAUGUGAAAUCCCUGAGCUUAACUUAGGAAUUGCAUUCGAUACUGGGAAGCUAGAGUAUGGGAGAGGAUGGUAGAAUUCCAGGUGUAGCGGUGAAAUGCGUAGAGAUCUGGAGGAAUACCGAUGGCGAAGGCAGCCAUCUGGCCUAAUACUGACGCUGAGGUACGAAAGCAUGGGGAGCAAACAGGAUUAGAUACCCCCGUAGUCCCUGUCUCUUAUAC
rnacentral:rRNA from 1 species